GACGAACGCUGGCGGCGCGCUUAACACAUGCAAGUCGAGCGAAGCGGCGGACGGGUGAGUAACACGUGAGUAACCUGCCUUAGACAUUGGGAUAGCCUCGGGAAACCGGGAUUAUUACCAAAUGGUAUAAGAUGGACUCGCGUCCCACUAGCUAGCUGGUGAGGUAACGGCCCACCAAGGCGACGAUGGGUAACCGGCCUGGUAGGGUGAACGGACACAUUGGAACUGGGAAACGGUCCAAACUCUACGGGAGGCAGCAGUGGGGAAUAUGGCACAAUGGAGGGAACUCUGAGGCAUGGAGGCCGCGUGAACGAAGAAGGCUUUAGAGUCGUAAAGAUCUUUUAUAUGGGAAGCGGUACCAUAAGAGAAAGCCCCGGCUAACUACGUGCCAGCAGCCGCGGUAAUU
rnacentral:rRNA from 1 species